UCAUUCUUAGCAAAAUGAAGAAACUUUGUGAAGAAACUUCAGUUGUUGUAGUGUCUCUUUUAUCCAUGACGAUGCUUCUACAGCUCCAAUUCUCUCUCUUUAUAACUUGCAUUCAAAAGGAGAGUGAAGCUCUUCUUCGAUUGAAGAAUAGUUUUGAUGAUCCUUCUCAAUACUUGGCAUCAUGGAAUGGAGUAGAUUGUUGAAAUUGGAAUGGAGUUGGAUGCAAUCCAACUGCUGGACAUGUUACGAAGAACAAUCUUCGACGCGAUUAUCAGGCAACAUUCCUCGAGAGGGUCAUCUUUCCACAUUCAACGAGGCUUCAAGUUUUGAUAAUAAUCCAUAUCUUUGCAGAGAACCACUCCCAAUAAAAUGUGUGACUGAGAAUCCAUGGAAACGACAUUGACAAUCAAGAUGAGGAAGAGGAUAAAUGGGAGAAAUGGUUGCUUUACAUCAUGAUAAUACUUGGAUUUGUAGUUGGAUUUUGGACAGUUGUUGGAGGUUUAGUAUUGAAGAAGAGUUGGAGAGAUACACUUAUUUCAAUUUUGUGGAUGAGACUAAUUACAAAGUUCGUGUAGCAAUUUGGAGGUUCGUAGAAAUGGUUAAAGCUAAGGAAUCUGUCUUCGCAAAUGAAGUCAGGUAAUGCUACACAAAAAUAUGAACAAGAACCUAAUUAAUCUCCUUUGUGGAGUUUGAACUAUG